rnacentral:sRNA from 1 species
GCCGGGCAUGGUGGCACACUCCUGUAAUCCCAGCGGGAGGCUGAGGCAGGAGGAUCACAAGUUCAAAGCCAGCCACAGCAGCUUAGUGAGGCCCUGAGCAACUCCGUGAGACCCUGUCUCUA